UCCGGGUUGCUUCGGCAUCUGCGCGCUCUGGACGCUAGCCUGUGGGCUCCCCAUUCGACCCGUCUUAAAACACGGACAAAGGAGUCUGACAUGUGUGCGAGUCAAUGGGCGAGUAAACCCGUAAGGCGCAAGGAAGCUGAUUGGUGGGAUCCCCCCGAGGGGUGCACUGCCGACCGACCUUGAUCUUCUGAGAAGGGUUCGAGUGUGAGCAUACCUGUCGGGACCUAAAAGAUGGUGAACUAUGCCUGAGCGGGGCGAAGCAAGAGGAAACUAUGGUGGAGGCCCGCAGCGAUACUGACGUGCAAAUUAUUCGUCUGAUUUCGGUAUAGGGGCGAAAGUCUAAUCGAACCGUCUAGUAGCUGGUUCCCUCCUCAGUUUCCCUAUGGAUAGCUGGAGCUCGCGUGCGAGUUUUAUCGGGUAAAGACAAUGAUUAGAGGCCUCGGGGAUGCAACGCCCUCGAACUAUUCUCAAACUUUAAAUAGGUAGGACGGCGCGACUGCUUCAUUGAGCCGCGCCACGGAAUCAAGAGCUCCGAGUGGCCCAUUUUUGGUAAGCAGAACUGGCGAUGUGGAAUGAACCGAAAGCCGGGUUACGGUGCCAAAAUGCGCGCCAACCUAGAUCCCACAAAGGGUGUUGGUCGAUUAAGACAGCAGGAUGGUGGUCAUGGAAGACGAUCAUAUACCGUCCUAGUCUCAACCAUAAACGAUGCCGACCAAGGAUCAGCGGAUGUUGCUUUUAGGACUCCACCGGCACCUUAUGAGAAAUCAAAGUUUUUGGGUUCCGAGGGGAGUAUGGUCGCAAGGCUGAAACUUAAAGGAAUUGAAGGAAGGGCACCACCAGGAGUGGAGCCUGCGGCUUAAUUGGACUCAACACGGGGAAACUUACCAGGUCCAGACAUAGUAAGGAUUGACAGACUGAGAGCUCUUUCUUGAUUCUAUGGGUGGUGGUGCAUGGCCGUUCUUAGUUGGUGGAGCGAUUUGUCUGGUUAAUUCCGUUAACGAACGAGACCUCAGCCUGCUAACUAGCUAUGCGGAGGUAUCCCUUCGCGGCCAGCUUCUUAGAGGGACUACGGCCUUUUAGGCCGCGGAAGUUUGAGGCAAUAACAGGUCUGUGAUGCCCUUAGAUGUUCUGGGCCACACGCGCACUACACUGAUGUAUUCAACGAGUUUAUAGCCUUGGACGACAGGCUCGGGUAAUCUUUGAAAUUUCAUCGUGAUGGGGAUAGAUCAUUGAAAUUAUUGGUCUUCAACGAGGAAUUCCUAGUAAGCGCGAGUCAUCAGCUCGCGUUGACUACGUCCCUGCCCUUUGUACACACCGCUCGUCGCUCCUACCGAUUGAAUGAUCCGGUGAAAUAUUUGGAUCGCGUCAACGUGGGCGGUUCGCUGCCCGCGACGUCGCGAGAUGUCCAUUGAACCUUAUCAUUUAGAGGAAGGAGAAGUCGUAACAAGGUUUCCGUAGGUGAACCUGCGGAAG
rnacentral:rRNA from 1 species